rnacentral:rRNA from 1 species
GCAGUGGGGAAUAUUGGACAAUGGGCGCAAGCCUGAUCCAGCCAUGCCGCGUGGGUGAUGAAGGCCCUAGGGUUGUAAAGCCCUUUCAGCGGGGAAGAUAAUGACGGUACCCGCAGAAGAAGCCCCGGCUAACUUCGUGCCAGCAGCCGCGGUAAU